AACAUCAAUCGUGGAUUCACCCUUCAUAUAAAGAUUAGUUUUGCUUUUCGUCUAUGGGAAAUUAAUCAGGAGGUUCACAAGUGAAUAAAUACGUAGAUUAACCUUAAGUGGAGCACGUUUCUGGGCGCCUGGUGUUGACUAAUAAUCAUGGAACACUGGGAAUCAGUUGUGACUACAAAU
rnacentral:snoRNA from 1 species